GCAGUUGUUAGUACCUACUAAAAGUGUUGCCAAGAAGAGCAACUGGUUAACCUGUGACAGUCAUGGGUGCCCAAGGCUCAUUGAUGCACGUCGGGUACAAAGGCUAGCCUAUAUCAUCCAAUCACACAGAAGAGCUACUGUAGCUCAAGUUGCUGAAAAAUAUCCUAAAGGUGUCAGAACACAGUGCAUCUCAGUUUGCUGCAUAUGGGGCUGCGUAGAG